GUAUAAUUACAAAAAGAACAAGGAUGGUGCUGGCGAUUCUUCAUUCUCUGUUAUCAAAGACCAAAUUCAAUUUUCUGUUGCGCUUGCACGACACAGUAAG